rnacentral:rRNA from 1 species
GACGAACGCUGGCGGCGUGCCUAAUACAUGCAAGUAGAACGCUGAAGGAGGAGCUUGCUUCUCUGGAUGAGUUGCGAACGGGUGAGUAACGCGUAGGUAACCUGCCUGGUAGCGGGGGAUAACUAUUGGAAACGAUAGCUAAUACCGCAUAAGAGUAGAUGUUGCAUGACAUUUUCUUAAAAGGUGCAAUUGCAUCACUACCAGAUGGACCUGCGUUGUAUUAGCUAGUUGGUGGGGUAACGGCUCACCAAGGCGACGAUACAUAGCCGACCUGAGAGGGUGAUCGGCCACACUGGGACUGAGACACGGCCCAGACUCCUACGGGAGGCAGCAGUAGGGAAUCGUCGGCAAUGGACGGAAGUCUGACCGAGCAACGCCGCGUGAGUGAAGAAGGUUUUCGGAUCGUAAAGCUCUGUUGUAAGAGAAGAACGAGUGUGAGAGUGGAAAGUUCACACUGUGACGGUAUCUUACCAGAAAGGGACGGCUAACUACGUG